CCUACGGGCGGCUGCAGUGGGGAAUCUUGCGCAAUGGACGAAAGUCUGACGCAGCCACGCCGCGUGAGUGAAGAAGGCCUUCGGGUUGUAAAGCUCUGUCGGAGGGGACGAACAUCCAGCCGGUUAAUAGCCGGUUGGACUGACGGUACCCUUAAAGGAAGCACCGGCUAACUCUGUGCCAGCAGCCGCGGUAAUACAGAGGGUGCAAGCGUUGCUCGGAAUUAUUGGGCGUAUAGGGCAGGUGGGUGGUGAAAGCCUCGGGCUUAACCCGAGAAGUGCCCCGCAAACGGUUCGACUGGAGUCACGGAGAGGUUAGCGGAAUUCCCGGUGUAGCGGUGAAAUGCGUAGAGAUCGGGAGGAACAUCAGAGGCGAAGGCGGCUAACUGGACGUGUACUGACACUCAACUGCGAAAGCGUGGGGAGCAAACAGGAUUAGAUACCCCAGUAGUC
rnacentral:rRNA from 1 species